AUGCAGAGGAAGCUGAGAGCUGUGCUGGGGAUUCUGUGGGUGCAGAUUUGCUGGGUGAGAGGAGUUGAGGUGGAGCAGAGUCCUUCAGCCCUGAGUCUCCACGAGGGAACCAAUUCUACAUUGACAUGCAAGUUUUCUACAACCAUGAAUACUGUGCAGUGGUUCCGGCAGAAUCCCAGGGGCAGCCUCAUCAAUCUCUUUUUCCUGACUCCAGGAACAAAGGAGAAUGGGAGGUUAACUGCAACAUUCAAUUCUAAGGAUCGCAAUAGCACCCUGCACAUCAGGGACGCCCAGCUGGAGGACUCAGGCACCUACCUCUGUGCAGUGAGUGCACAGUGCUCCCAGCCAGCCUGCAGCCUGGCCCCCAACUGCCCCCAAACUGCAGCUGGGUGUGCAGCUACAGCCCUGCCACAGGGAGACUCUGCAGGAGGCUUUUGUGCAGCUGUGGCCUUAUCAGAUCUCCACCAAUUACAAGGAAGGUGUGAGGAAACAGAAAAUUCCACAGCAGAAGUUCACACUUAA